rnacentral:lncRNA from 1 species
UGAUGCUUAACAACAGGACAGCUGGCUUUGAGAAGUCUUCAGAUCUACUCAAUUAUUAUAAACAAGGUUCAUUUAAUUCGUUGUUCCAAUUAUCACUCACAUUUAAAUACACUAUUCACUACAGAAUUGUAGCUUUACACUUCUAAGUGAUACCCAGGACUUGGUUCAGGGCAUCUUCUGCGUCAUGAGCUAUGCUUAUAAUUAGACUUUUGAUUUGUCAUGAGGUCACGGGGGUUACCUAGAAGAUGGGACAUGGGUAUGGCCCAUGUGAUACAUUUUUAUCCUGUGUGAAGCAGGCUGGUCAUAGGUGCUGUUCCAACAGAGUUGGGAAGCAGCCACGCAGAAUGCUGAGGGUAGAUUCACACAGAUGGUUAUAUAUUUGUAUGUGGGUUAUAAAAAAUAACAUUAUUUAAACCAAGAAUAAGCAAAUAAUUAUACUUAAAAUUAUAGAUAAGUACAAUCUCCCUAUUAUCAGAAGUAAAAUUCCAGAGGUGCUAUAAAUAGUAACAUUUCUAAAACCACAUCCAAAGAAAACUUUAUCAUAACAAAACUUGGUUUAUAUUUAGUGGUAUCGGGUUUUACUAUUUUUUGAAGAUGCCUAAAUACACCUUUGACAGCUGCUGCUGUCAGACAGUGAUAUUUUUGGUGCUGGAACCAUGGCAUUUAACAGAUGGAAAAGUAGAUAAUGUAAUAACAUUACAGAUAAUGUAAUAACAUAGUUACAUGAGUAACAUUUUAGAAGUAGUAGUCAUGGUCUUUAAGUAAAAGUGGGUAAAUCAGAGCUGAGUCAACUUCACCCCUAGAUGAAACAAAACUCCAGUUGCUUCAACUUUGACAAUGACAAAAACAUUCCUUAAAAACUAAAGGGCCAAAAAUUUAAACCCCAUAAUUGGAAAGAUGCCUGAGUGCCUGUGGGCUCUCCAAGGAGAGCAGUGAUGUGGAACCUGUGAGGAGUCCACAUGCAGGUGGGAAUCAGAUGCUGCACAUUGACUGACCGGGACCAUCGGGACUCCUUCAGAGAAGCCAGGCACCGUCUCUCCUCACCACUUCCAAAAUGUGGCAAGAACUGUAAGGAGUUCCCAGCUGCAUUUGGUGGACAGGCAGUCUCAGUCACUGUGGCAUCUCCCACUAGAACCUAUGCGGAUGGGAGGUACACAGAAAUCAAAUGAACAGAACACAGCAGUGCCACCCCCUGCAGAGAAUGUUUUUCAUUUACUAUUCAUAGAGACAACACAUCACAAGAGAGUUGCUUGUCUCCCAGCCAAACAUGGAGACCAAAUAAAGCAUUAGCAAAACCCCA